UAAGCACCCCCAUCUUAUGAUAACCCCGGGUGGGAAGAAACCCAAAAUUAGGAAGUGAAUCCUUACGUUCCCCCCGCGUGCGACUGGAAGGACCCGGCCUAGGAAUUGGAGCAACCUCGAUAGGCUUGUCUAAGGGUUAGGGAGUCUCUUUUGCUACCUGAGACCUUCCCCCUUAGUCAGCUAAGUUUUUCCUCUUUAAGGGGGGCAGGGGAUGACGCAAUAUCACUUUAUUGCCCUUGUUUAGGCAUAAAGUCCAUGGUUCCCUCCAGGUCAAAUCUCAUCCCUGUACAUGCAAGGUAAGGUACGUUAGGCUCCAAAAACAAAACAAUAUGAAAACAUAAACAAGGAAAUGAGGCUUAAGAGUUUACCGUCAAUGGGAGCGAGGCCUUUGUCACUUCCUGGCAAGGUCUUCAAUACCUCGUCCAGAUCGAAGUCCAUAUCUGUAUGCAC
rnacentral:lncRNA from 1 species